UUGAAAGGGAAACGAUUGAAGUCAGUCGUACCUGCGGGUAAUCAGCCUUUUGGGCAUGAUUCUGUGGAGCGUGAGGAGUUAAACGCCUUCUUGCCUGCAUAUUCGUGUACUUUGGGUGUACUUGCCCGUGUGGUUAGUUAACAUCAAUUUUGGUUAUCAUAAAAUGGCUGGAGGAAUGUAGCUUCGAUUUCGAUUGAAGUGUUUAUAGCCUUCGGCAGAUGUGAUGAUCGGGAUUGAGGAUUGCAACGGAUACCCUUCGGGGCUACCUGUCUGAUCUCUGAUCGUUGCUCUGGUGCCGAAAGCGUGCUUACGGUUAUCAAAGUCGAUGGUUAAUAGGUUAGAACGGGUUAAAUUCGUUAAGGAUGUUGACGUA
rnacentral:rRNA from 1 species